rnacentral:rRNA from 1 species
CCUACGGGCGGCAGCAGUGAGGAAUAUUGGUCAAUGGCCGAGAGGCUGAACCAGCCAAGUCGCGUGAGGGAAGACUGCCCUACGGGUUGUAAACCUCUUUUGUCUGGGAGCAAAGUGAUCCACGUGUGGGGCUUUGUGAGUACCCGAAGAAAAAGCAUCGGCUAACUCCGUGCCAGCAGCCGCGGUAAUACGGAGGAUGCGAGCGUUAUCCGGAUUUAUUGGGUUUAAAGGGUGCGCAGGCGGAGGCUCAAGUCAGCGGUAAAAUUGGGGGGCUCAACCCCGAAAUGCCGUUGAAACUGGGUGCCUUGAGUGCGCGAGAGGUAGGCGGAAUGCGGGGUGUAGCGGUGAAAUGCAUAGAUAUCACGAAGAACUCCGAUUGCGAAGGCAGCCUACCGGAGUGCAACUGACGCUGAGGCACGAAAGCGUGGGUAUCGAACAGGAUUAGAUACCCGAGUAGUC